rnacentral:lncRNA from 1 species
AAAUGGAAAAAAAGUCCAUCCUCAUGGAGAAGAAGAUUUAGAGGCUACUGAUUAGGAGUUUCAGUGGAAAGUGGGGUCUGAAGCCAAAUUGCAGAAGUCUGAGGUGUAUGUAUGCAGUAAGUAAAGAGACAGCAGAUAAUGAAUCUUCUUUAGAACACAGAGCAAUUGUUUUCCUUUUUUUUUUUUCAUGGAAGGGAAAGCAAGUGUCUAAUAAACUAUUCUUUAAAAUUACAAUUAUAAUGUUAGUACUUGCAUUAUACAUCGUGUUUAUAUAGUACCAUUAAAGUCAAAUGGCAUUUAAUAUUCACAGCAUAAAAGAUAAAAGUAUCAUAUAGUGAUAUUAGGAGGAAAAAUCCUCCUGGUAUCAUUAGGAGAAAAAUUUCUUCUAAUGGAAAAAACCUCCAUUCCCCAACUUUAGCUUUUUCAGCACCAUCACUUGUGCUCCGUGCCUCACCUCACCAGCCGCAGGAGAACCCAGCUCCUUCUGACGGGCCCUGUCUCCUGCACCACCAGUUGGAAGGCUUCAUUCCCGGCAGCAGACAAGCAAGGCUUGCUCUAGUUCAGCAUAAAUAACUCCUUCUUUUACCCCACAUCCCUUGGAGAUUCCCUACCCCCACUUCUCUACUCUUCUCCACAAAACUUUCCACCUUCUGGCCUCACAUUCUCUCUCGAACAUGCUCUGGUGAAAGCAGUUUUCAUCUUCAUGGCUCAGCUAAAAUGGCUCUUAUCAAAAGCACCAACUACGUUCCUCUGGCCAAAUGCAGCGCUCCAUCUGGGCCCUUUUCUUACUUCCUAAGUGGUAUCUGUGAACGCAUUUGCCAAUCUCCCUUUCUGUAACAUCUAGUACUAACAUCAUGUGACACAUAACAAAAUUUUGGUCAAUGAGAGACUGCAUCUAUGAUGGUGGGCCCAUAAGACAAUAAGAUACCAUAUUUUUACUCUACCUUUCCAUGUUAAGAUACACAAACACCAUUGUGUCACAACUGCACAUGCUGUGCAGGUUUGUAGCCUAGGAGCAAUAGGCUAUACUAGAAGUGUCCAAUCUUUUGGCUUCCCUGGGCCACACUGGAAGAAGGAUUGUCUUGGGUCACACAUAAAAUACACUAACACUAAUGAUAGCUGGUGAGCUAAAAAAAAAAAAAUUGAAAAAAAAUAUGUGUUAAGAAAGUUUACAAGUUUGUGUUGGGCUGCAUUCAAAGCCAUCCUGGGCCACAAGUGGCCUGCAGCCAGCAGGUUGGACAAGCUAGUGCUGUAUCAGGUUUGUGCAAGUUCACUCUUUGAUGUUCACAAAAUGACAAAACCUGUAAAUGAUGAAUUUCUCGGAGUGUGUCCCCAUCGUUAAGUAACGCAUGACUGCAUCGGAAACUUACCCAAGCUAAACUGUAACUCUAAAUCGGCACACCCAAACCUGCUUCUCUCAGUCCAUGUCACCACCGUCCUCCUGGACACUUAAUGCCCCUCUUUCACUCACAAACAUAUUCCACCUAAUAGCAAAUCCCAGCAGCUUAACUGCCAAAAGAAACUCUGAGCCUUCCAUCCCCUGCCGAUUCCUAUUGCUGACACCCCAGUGUAGCAGCAACACCUCCACCCUCAGCAGCUAGGACCACCUUAAAAUAGAGAUAAAAUCUUAUCAUCUCCCAGUUCACAACCCCCCAGAGGCCACCAGUCUAAUUAGGAUGAAACACACCUCCCAUGGCCAACAAGAUGCUAUAUCUAGCGCUUCUCAG